UGGCAGUGUGGUUAGCUGGUUGUGUGGAUUUCAAGUUUUCACAGCCACUAUCCAUACUGCGCCC
rnacentral:pre_miRNA from 1 species